GAUGAACGCUGGCGGCGUGCUUAACACAUGCAAGUCGAACGAAACACCUUAUUUGAUUUUCUUCGGAACUGAAGAUUUGGUGAUUGAGUGGCGGACGGGUGAGUAACGCGUGGGUAACCUGCCCUGUACAGGGGGAUAACAGUCAGAAAUGACUGCUAAUACCGCAUAAGACCACAGCACCGCAUGGUGCAGGGGUAAAAACUCCGGUGGUACAGGAUGGACCGGCGUCUGAUUAGCUGGUUGGUGAGGUAACGGCUCACCAAGGCGACGACCAGUAGCCGGCUAGAGAGAGUGAAUGGACACAUUGGGACUGAGCCACGGUCCAAACUCCUACGGGAGGCAGCAGUGGGGAAUAUUGCAACACGGGGGAAACCAUGAUGGAGCGCCGACGGGUGAGUGCAGAAGUAUGGCGGUAUGUAAAGCUUUAUCAGCAGGGAAGAACAUGACGGUACCUGAUCAAGAAGCCCCGGCUAACUACGUG
rnacentral:rRNA from 1 species